AUACUUACUUGGCAGGGAGUAUACCAUGAUCACAAAGGUGGUUUUCCCAGGGUCAGGCUUUCUCACUUUACUGGAUGUACUGACCCCUGUGGUUUCCCCAAAUGUGGAAAACUCAACUGCAUAAUUUAGUGUUAGUGGGGGGUU
rnacentral:snRNA from 1 species